UCCCUGGUGGCUCAGUGAUAAAGAAUCUGCCUGCCAAGCAGGUGACUCGGGUUCAAUUCCUGAGUCGAGAA
rnacentral:tRNA from 1 species